rnacentral:rRNA from 1 species
UACGAAGGGGGGCUAGCGUUGCUCGGAAUCACUGGGCGUAAAGCGCACGUAGGCGGAUCGUUAAGUCGGGGGUGAAAUCCUGGAGCUCAACUCCAGAACUGCCUUCGAUACUGGCGAUCUUGAGUCCGGAAGAGGUGAGUGGAACUCCUAGUGUAGAGGUGGAAUUCGUAGAUAUUAGGAAGAACACCAGUGGCGAAGGCGGCUCACUGGUCCGGUACUGACGCUGAGGUGCGAAAGCGUGGGGGAGCAAACAGG